CAGCCGCCGCGGGAACACGUAGGGUGCAAGCGUUAAUCGGAAUUACUGGGCGUAAAGCGUGCGCAGGCGGUUCGCUAAGACAGAUGUGAAAUCCCCGGGCUUAACCUGGGAACUGCAUUUGUGACUGGCGAGCUAGAGUAUGGCAGAGGGGGGUAGAAUUCCACGUGUAGCAGUGAAAUGCGUAGAGAUGUGGAGGAAUACCGAUGGCGAAGGCAGCCCCCUGGGCCAAUACUGACGCUCAUGCACGAAAGCGUGGGGAGCAAACAGGAUUAGAUACCCCCGUAGUCCCUGUCUCUUAUAC
rnacentral:rRNA from 1 species